GAUGAACGCUGGCGGCGUGCCUAAUACAUGCAAGUCGAGCGAACAGACAAGGAGCUUGCUCCUCUGACGUUAGCGGCGGACGGGUGAGUAACACGUGGAUAACCUACCUAUAAGACUGGGAUAACUUCGGGAAACCGGAGCUAAUACCGGAUAAUAUAUUGAACCGCAUGGUUCAAUAGUGAAAGACGGUUUUGCUGUCACUUAUAGAUGGAUCCGCGCCGCAUUAGCUAGUUGGUAAGGUAACGGCUUACCAAGGCAACGAUGCGUAGCCGACCUGAGAGGGUGAUCGGCCACACUGGAACUGAGACACGGUCCAGACUCCUACGGGAGGCAGCAGUAGGGAAUCUUCCGCAAAGGGCGAAAGCCUGACGGAGCAACGCCGCGUGAGUGAUGAAGGUCUUCGGAUCGUAAAACUCUGUUAUUAGGGAAGAACAAAUGUGUAAGUAACUAUGCACGUCUUGACGGUACCUAAUCAGAAAGCCACGGCUAACUACGUG
rnacentral:rRNA from 1 species